ACAAAGGCAAUGAUAAGAACAAGUAGCAAUCAUGUAGACAAACAGAAAGUUACCGGUUGUUGAGAGGUGCAUGUUGAACGGUUGCGAAUACAUCUUGGAGCUGUGUACCGAACAUUUCGAUUAGUAGGCUGCACCGGUUUGGCACCCGUAAUCAUGUGCUGUAAGUAUCGUCUGAUGACUGUACUUGCAAAGGCAGGUAAUGUGAAUUACUUGCGAAUUAAGGUGGUAACACGAGAUGAAUCGUCCUUUUG
rnacentral:ncRNA from 1 species